ensembl:lncRNA
GGGCGUAUCCUCAGUAACUUCCUCAGGAGCGUAUAUGGUAAACCUUCUGAAUCCUUGAUGUUCACGGAGACAAACUGGAAAGUGAACGAGAGGCUCUUGUAACAACGCUGAUACAGUCGAUACAAAACUGAGACGAUGCAGAGCACAGCCGCGUUAAUCACUCUGCUGCGGGAAGACAUAUGUAAUUCAAAUUCCGUUCCAAAACUUCAGUCACAGUUUGACUUUGUAUAGAAUCUUCAAUUGAAAAUAAUUAUCCCUCGAAUUUCAAAGACAUUGUGGUUUGACUCCAAGAGUGGCAGCAUCUCCCACGGGCACCUCUGGUCUGCAGAGUGGAACCACCAGACGGAUCAACAGCAAUGCCUCUGUCCCGUCAGCGUCGACUGAGAUCACAUACGGCAGUGACGUCACACCUUCAGUUUGAUCUGAAGUAUGUUAGCAAGCUGAAAAUAAGAAAAUUUUCUCAGCCUUUACUCUGUGUCCAUCUGGAAAGAAAUAUGAAUAUCUGAUGUUAAAAGACUGAGCUGGGGCUGGCCCCGUGACCCAGUGGUUAAGUUCACGUGCUCCACUUCGGCGGCCCAGGGUUUCGCUGGUUCAGAUCCUGGGCGCGGACAUGGCAAAGCUCAUCAGGUUGUGCUGAGGUGGCGUCCCACAUAUCAGAGCCAGAGGCACUCAACUGGAACAUACAAGUUUACAGAUUUGCUUCAUUUGUCCUCAUCCAUAAACAAGGCAUCUCCUUGACUUCUUCCCACCUGAGCGGCCGUCUUCACUGCAGCGCGUUUCUCAGAAGAGUGACCGUCACCUUCGCUAGAUGCACAGUCUCGUACACCACUCCCUUCUCACUAAAACCUUUUCUUCUGUUUCUCCUCCCGACUUGGGUCUGCUUUAUUCUCUGGGUUUUGCUGGUUUCUCCAGCUCACUCGUUGGUGUUGGAUUCCCCAGAGCAGUGUCUGUCUUUUCAGCAGCCGUGCAAGGAGAGUUCUGAACCCGGGUUUCUCUUCCUCAUGCUGCACACCUCCUGCGUGGGCAAUCUCAUCCCCACCAGGAAUCUAAUUGCUGCACACGCACUGAGCUCUUCCGCCUCACCUUCUCUGUCCCGGAUGCCACUCCUCACUCUAGAGAUGCGGUUUGUUUCCUACCUUCAAGUUCCAUCGUCAGCUCAAACUCAGAAUGUUUCAACCAAACAGCUGGACCCUGAGAACCUUCCUCACCGUCCUCUGAUAUGGAAAUCUUGCAAUUAUAUUUAACACUUCUUGACAAAUCACCCACCUCACCCGUACAAUCGAUCAUCAAGUUCAGUCCAUUCUACCCCUGAAACCACUUUCCAGUCCACCGUUUUCUUUCCAUGAGCACCUCCCCAUCUUCACCAUCACUCACCCGUCACUGAAUCACUUCUCUCCGGGUUUUCCUGCCCCCGAGAUCUCUUCCUUUGAUACUGACAUUGUAUAGCUGCUGGAAUUCUCCAUCACGUGAAUGUGAGUCGAUUCUAAUUUAAAACCGUUCUUACAGGAUAAAAUUCAAGUAAUUCAGCACGCCAUACCACCCCGGUACAAUCCACCUUCAACUCCAGUGUCCGGGCCAUUGCUGCUCAAACCCCCGGCAGAGGGGCCAGCUUUUCCUUCUUCUAAUCCAUUGUGGGCAAUACUUUUAUAAAGUCCAAUAAAAAUUAUUUAUUAGCACGAUUAUCACUUGCUGGGGAGUUGUAGGAAGGCUGAAUUGCUAUCAAAGUCUUUAAACAGUUAAUUACCUUUUCCCUAGCAUCACGGACUCUUCGUAGUUUGCAGGCCAGCCCUGGUCUGGGUUAGUGUCUUGCUUUUCUCCUUGAUAUUUUUGUGUAACAUUUGCAGUAAUCACACCAAUUGUUUGAGUGGUCUGAUAAAAGUGAAAAGCGUUUGCUGAACAACUCAUAGAUGACACACAAAUAAAAGAAUUAAAUAUAACCUUGAGUUCCUAUAUUUGUAACUGCAGAAUUUUGGUGUCAUUGAUAGUAAUGAAAGAGUAAAAAGUAAGUAUUUAAAAAAUAUUAGCUCUACAAAUGCAACACACACAAUUGUAUCCACUUGUAAAUUAGUUCAACCACUCUGGAAAGGUGUUGGUGGUAUUUACUAAAGUGAGACAUGUAUAUCCUCUGUCACUCAGUAGCUCCACUAUCAGAUGUAGUGAAACGACAGAAUGUUGUACACUUCACAGACACUUGCAGCAGUCUUUACGCCACUCUAUUCCUAGUAGCCCCAAACUGGAAACUGUCAAAAUGCCCAUCCUCCAUAACAUGGGUUUAAAAAGUUGGUUAUUCA